UUAGGAGAAAAAGCUAAAGCAAGAUAUGAAAAGAUCAGAUUCAAAAUCGUUGAUUUGGAUGAUUACGCUGCUGAUGAUGAUGAGUAUGAGGCGAAGUUGUUUACAAGGGAAUGACAGAGGAGAAUAGCUUACAAACUUGAAGUAUGGAGUGUUUGGAUUAGGAAA